CAAAGGCUUGGUCCUGACUUUACUAUCAGCUCUAACCAGACUUACACAUGCAAGUAUCCGCACCCCCGUGAGAAUGCCCUAACAGCUCCCCACCCGGGAGCAAGGAGCUGGUAUCAGGCACACAACGUUAGCCCACGACACCUUGCUUAGCCACACCCCCAAGGGAACUCAGCAGUGAUAAAUAUUAAGCAAUAAGUGAAAACUUGACUUAGUUAAGGUUAAAAGGGCCGGUAAAACUCGUGCCAGCCACCGCGGUUAUACGAGGGGCCCAAGUUGAUAUUUUCCGGCGUAAAGAGUGGUUAUGGAAUAAACAAACUAAGGCCGCACCUCUUCAAAGCUGUCAUACGCACCCGAAGAACAGAAGCCCAACCACGAAAGUGGCUUUAAGAUACCUGACCCCACGAAAGCUGUGGCACAAACUGGGAUUAGAUACCCCACUAUGCUCAGCCGUAAACAUUGGUAGGCUGACUACAACCCCUACCCGCCUGGAUACUACGAGCAUUAGCUUAAAAUCCAAAGGACUUGGCGGUGCUUUAGACCCCCCUAGAGGAGCCUGUUCUAGAACCGAUAAUCCCCGUUCAACCUCACCUUUCCUUGUUAAUCCCGCCUAUAUACCGCCGUCGUCAGCUAACCCUGUGAAGGCUUAGUAGUCAGCACAAUUGGUAUAACCAAAAACGUCAGGUCGAGGUGUAGCGCAUGGAAAGGGAAGCAAUGGGCUACAUUCUCUAUAAUAGAGCAUACGAAUGAUGUACUGAAAAACUACUUCUGAAGGUGGAUUUAGCAGUAAGUAGGAAGUAGAGCGUCCUACUGAAGCCGGCUCUGAAGCGCGUACACACCGCCCGUCACUCUCCCCGAAACAUCAACGUUAAUACCUAAAAAAUUAGAGCCCUAGAGGGGAGGCAAGUCGUAACAUGGUAAGGGUACCGGAAGGUGCACUUGGAAAAAUUAU
rnacentral:ncRNA from 1 species